UCCUCCGACGGGCUCGUCAUCGCUGUUGCGCCGACGAGCCGUCAAUCUGCGUUUCGACGUGACAUAGAGUGAUUAUACAGAUUUUCAAAGCGAUAAAGGAAUAGAAAGCGAUAUUAUAGGGUUUGCGAAAGUGAGUGUGUGUGUGAAGGAUCCGGCGAUUUUGUUUGCGAAAAUGGAAUCCGCCUUGGCCCGCGUGCUGCGGGAGCAUAUCGGCGCGCUCGAAGUCGUCGAGCUCAUUCAGUUAAUGGACCACGCGCGUUUGAACAUUCGCGGCACCAUUGAUGACCUCCGUGACCGAUACCUUCGCGCAGAAGUACGUCGCGUUUUCGGCCCGGACGCUGCGCCAUGGGACAUGACAAAUGAUACCGCCGCGGAUCGCUGUGCGUUCCUGGGUACACGUACCCAGGGGGAGUGGGAACUCCUGACCGAGUACGUUUCCAAACUCCAGUUAAUAUUCCGAAGACUAGAGCCUCCCGUACCCGAAUCCUAACAGUUGGAUAUCACCCUAAGAAAUCUCCAUCCCCGCUAUAAACUCGUAGUAGAGCUCCACCCUCCCAGAUCCUUCGAUGAAUUCCAGCGAGGAGUACCGCAGCCCUCCGACGGCAGAAAGCCUCACGGUUCCUGGGUCCGCGUAUGUACCCUCGCGAGGAGGUCCCCCUCGCGUGCCUCCACUCCUCCUCCUCCCUUUACGAUCACCGAAUUUCCGAGUUUACUGUCUCUCCCUACAACACCACCUCCCACCGGUUAUAACAUUCCCUCGUCCACCAACAUAUCGCCUGCAUACCGUCCAAUUUCCUAUGCCCAA